rnacentral:rRNA from 1 species
UAGGAACAGCUUAGCAAGCUGAUCACCUGUUUCCAUUUGAACACUGAAGUUAAGCAGCAUUGGGGCCUGGUUGGUACUUGGUUUGGCCACAUCCAAAGAGAUUUAAGACACCGUUCCAGC